rnacentral:lncRNA from 1 species
AGACAUGUGGCGCCCGCCACAAAGGCAUGUGCCGACCGGCACAAGGGCACAUAUGCCGCCCGCCAUAGCACAACAUGUGCUGCCCGCCAGAUCAAUCAAACGGUCACGCGCUAAUUUUAUAAAGUCCCACAUCGGCCAGUUUUGUUCUUUUUCCUCCUUGUAUUUUAGUAUAAAUAGACUAGUUCUCUUCACUCAAAAAUAUAACACUUGACUUGGAGAAUUGAGAAUUAGGCUUAGUACCACAAGGUUUUCUUCUCUAAAGUUGAGAGUUUAGUAUUAUUUUAUUCUCCGUUGAGAAUUUAAUAAGUUUUUUUAUUUCCUACCGUUACGCUGUCGGAAUCCGUACUCGAGAUUUCUUUUAUAAUUUCAGGUUCUUAUUUUAUGGUCUUAUUUAUUUCUUGUCUUUAUUUUAUUGCUUUUAUUUUAUGCUUUUAAUUUUUGUUUUUAUUAUGUCUUUUUAUUUAUUUGCUUAUUUUAUUUUUAUGUCUUUAGUUUUAGUUAUGUCUAGCUAAAUUUAGCGUUGCUAGUAUGUGUAGUUAGUAGCUAAUAGGGGUUCGGUAGUUAAUUCGUGCUUAAUAGUUUUCAACCACCAGUUUUGAAUAAAUACGUUUUCAAAUAAUUCGUCACGAGAGUGAGGAUUGUUUUAAAGGCAAUAAACCAACAUUGACGAGAGUUGAGGUUUAGGGUCGGAUAGUUAAA